UACGGGGGGAGCAAGCGUUGUUCGGAUUUACUGGGCGUAAAGGGCGCGUAGGCGGCCUCCGCAAGUCAGUUGUGAAAUCUCCGAGCUUAACUCGGAAAGGUCAACUGAUACUGCGGGGCUAGAGUGCGGAAGGGGCAACUGGAAUUCUUGGUGUAGCGGUGAAAUGCGUAGAUAUCAAGAGGAACACCUGCGGCGAAGGCGGGUUGCUGGGCCGACACUGACGCUGAGGCGCGAAAGCGUGGGGAGCAAACAGG
rnacentral:rRNA from 1 species